GCGAAGAAUCUUCCGCAAUGGGGGAAACCCUGACGGAGCGACGCCGCGUGGGCGAUGAAGGUCGUAAGAUUGUAAAGCCCUUUUAUCGGUGAAGAAUAAGCGGGGGAGUGGAAAGCCCUCGUGAUGACGUUAGCCGAUGAAUAAGCCCCGGCUAAUUACGUGCCAGCAGCCGCGGUAAUACGUAUGGGGCGAGCGUUGUUCGGAGUUAUUGGGCGUAAAGGGCGUGUAGGCGGCUCAUCAAGUCUGGUGUGAAACCCCUGGGCCUAACCCGGGGCAUGCGCUGGAAACUGGUGGGCUUGAGUUCUGGAGGGGAAGCUGGAAUUCCAGGUGUAGGGGUGAAAUCUGUAGAUAUCUGGAAGAACACCGGUGGCGAAGGCGAGCUUCUAUCCGCGGACUGACGCUGAGGCGCGAAAGCGUGGGGAGCAAACAGGAUUAGAUACCCGAGUAGUCC
rnacentral:rRNA from 1 species